AUCUACCGCCACACCACCCUGAACUCACUCAAUCUCUUCUGAUCUCAGAAGCUAAGUAACAUCAGACCUAGUUAGUACUUGGAUAGGAGACCACCUGGGAAUACUGAGUGCUGCAGGUA
rnacentral:rRNA from 1 species